rnacentral:lncRNA from 1 species
AGGCAACAAUGGUAAAUGAAAGACUCAAAGUAACUGGCAUUUGCCUUAUCCAUGAUCAGGACGGUUGCUUUGGUGAUGUCUGUUUUGCUCCGUGACUGAGGGAAAGAAAACACGACUGGCUCAGAGAUGAUUUCUCCUUCAGAGCAGUCUGAUGCGUCAAUUAUUUCAGGCCUAGAGACACCAU